AUAGCUUCUCGACCUUUUGGCUAAGAUCAAGUGUAGUAUCUGUUCUUAUCAGUUUAAUAUCUGAUACAUCCUCUAUCCGAGGACAAAAUGUGAGUAGAAUUUAUCAUCAAAGAAAUAGUGUCAAGGGGCUGGCAUUGCGGUGUAGUGAGUUAAGCCGCAGCCUGCAGUGCUGGCAAUGCUGGCAUCCCUU
ensembl:snRNA U2 U2 spliceosomal RNA